ensembl:lncRNA
GUUAAGUUGCAGUAGUGCCUUCCCAGCUCAUGGAAAAAAUACACAAUUCUUAAAACAGUCUGAGGAGCCUACAGAACAAUAUCAUGGUAGCUUAUUGCCAUCCUAUGAAAAUGUGACUGAAAGAAAGAAAAAUGCAGUACUUUGGAAGCCAAGAACUCAACCUAAUAUAAAGGAUUUUGAUAAAAAAUGUAGGCCAUUGAAUCUACUUCAUCAUACCAUCAACAGUAGCAGCAAUGCCAACGAUAGGAAUUUGCAGGAAGGUUCAAGUAACUUGUCUUGCCUUACUCUUUCACCUCUUAAAUUUAACAAUGAAAGUAAGACAGAUUUUAACAAGCUGCUUUUUACUGACAAGAUGAAGCCUGAAGAAACUAUCUAUGAUGCUGAUAUGGAGUUGACUGCCAGUGAUGCAAGUGAACUACUCACAGUUACAGCAAAAGGCAGUUAUAAAUUGCACCAAAAUAAAAUUAAUAAUGCCAGUUCUGACAAAAUAUUACCAAAUUUCAGAAAAGUAAAAUAUUCUAAGAAGGAUAAAGAAAAAAAUAAAAGCAAGACUGAAGUCCAUUCAAAUCUGCAUGCAGAAGAAAUGCUCUCUAGGGCUGAGAAUAGUGAAACUCCAGUAACUACUGAUUCACAAACUCAGCUAUUCCAGAAUCAGACAGAACAGCUACCUACAGGGAAUUCUGCAGAGCAACAGAAUAGAACAAGUAAAGCUAAGGAUUUCAGGAGGACAUACCAGGUUAAUGUAAUGAAUCCAAGAAAACAAGAGACAAAUAAAGGAAGAUUCUCAGAAAUGUUUGGAGAAGUGGAAAGCAGAAUACAAAAAACAGAUUCAUGCUCAACUGUUAACAAGAUCCCACCAGAAGUUUAUUGUGCUGAAAAUUUACCAUUCCAAGAUAACAUUUCUGAUGUAUUGGCUUUACAGCAGGGCUUCCUGAAUACAAAUGAGAAAGAUACCAAACCAACAAUAAAGAGGAAGACUUCUCAAAACCUUUCCAAAGCAAACACAGAAAAAUCCUGUAGAGAGGAAAAUGGCCAGUAUGGAGAAUAUAUUUCAAAAAAAUCUCAAGCAGAGAUAAACCAAUAUGACAACAACAAGAGAAAACAAGACCAGAAGAAUAUUAUACAGCGAAAAAACAACAGAAAAAGUAGUCACAGACAAGGUAGAGAUGCUGAAAAUGACAGCCCUCAUAAAGUUAGUCAGAAAGUAGACCAAAAGAGCAGCCAUUUUUCACCAGGCAGAUUGAAGCGUACAUUGGCAAAGGCCAGCCGGAAAACACGUGUGAUACCAAAGGAAAAUCUCACGCGGUUCUCAGUUUGUAAAAAUGAAGAAUUGAAACACAAGGAUUCAUUGCUUGCAGAGGCUGGACAGAAAGCAGCUGUAACUCAGCAAAUGCAAGUAGCUUUAGUUACUCAGAAUGGUGUCGCUCUGAAUACACCACUAGCUAAAGAGCAGGUUGAUGAUGAUGCUGACAGGUUAGAGAAGGUAGAUUCCUCAGCUGUGGCAAGUGAACCCUCCCCCAUAAGUAAUUUUCCUGAUAAGCAUGUAAAGCAGAAACAGAGGUGUAGUUCUGAUAUUACUGAGACCAGACCAGAAAAAAGUUAUUUCAUGCAUAUUGCUCAGGGGAGUCAGAAUAUUUUGGAUGACCAGGAAGUCCCUCAUGAAAUGAAUUCCUUUGUGAGUAAGUUGAAGCCUGUGAUUGAAGUUGAAUCCUGUAAGAAUAUGCCAUUUAAGGCAGAUAGUUCUUCCCAGGAAAGUCUUCUUGGUAUGGAGCUCCCAGCUCUUGAUAACCACAAUGCUUCCAUCAACUUUUCUAAACUGAAAAGCUCUGAAAUCCUCAGGCAAAAUGAUCGUAAUGAAGCACCAGAUGCUGAAAAAACAGAACAAAAUAUGGAUCAUAUUUCUAAACAGAACAACAAAAAUACUCUGACACCUUGUCAUGGGAGAAAAGCUCUCCAAGAACUGACAAAUACUAGUAUACAAAUUCAGACUUCUGUACCUAAAUCCCCCCAAACUUUAGAAGCUUCAGCAGCAGCACUGAGACGAGGCAGACCCACUGUUUGCUACAAGGAACCCAGUCUGCAGAGCAAAUUAAGGAGAGGGGAUCGAUUUACAGAUACACAAUUCCUGAAUUCCCCAGUCUUCAAAGUAAAAAAUAAAGGAAAUUUUAAAAGCAAAUCAAAAUUUUAUUGAGGAAGAGAGAAUUGCCUUUAUGGACAAUACUUCUAAAAUGGGUACAAUUGUUUAUGUAUAUAUGACACAUUGCCACUAAAUGCUAAAUGUUUAAUUUUGCCACUAAUUGCUAAAUGUUUAGCAAUAUAGACUCUUUGUUGUUCUUUGAUUAGUAAGGUCUUCCACAGUGAAGUUUUCUGGAGAAGAACCUCUGUAAAAGGGGCACAGAAUGCUUUACUGAGGAAGGCUUAUACAGGUGAGGCUCACUCCUGUUUUGCAUCUCAGGUCAGUAAUUUUUAAUCUGUGCAAACAGUUUGCAGCAUUUCUUAAAUUAUUAGAAAAUAUAUGUUUUAAUGAGAAAUAAAAAUAAACGAGCUUUGGGAAUUGU